rnacentral:rRNA from 1 species
AAUAUUGCACAAUGGAGGGAACUCUGAUGCAGCAACGCCGCGUGAGUGAAGAAGGUUUUCGGAUCGUAAAACUCUGUCAUUGGGGAAGAAUAAAUGACGGUACACAAUGAGGAAGCCCCGGCUAACUACGUGCCAGCAGCCGCGGUAAUACGUAGGGGGCGAGCGUUGUCCGGAAUUACUGGGCGUAAAGGGUACGUAGGCGGCUAUAUAAGUCAGGUGUGAAAUACCAGUGCUUAACACUGGAAUUGCAUUUGAAACUGAAGGGCUUGAGUGUCGGAGAGGGUAGUGGAAUUCCCGGAGUAGCGGUGAAAUGCGUAGAUAUCGGGAGGAACACCAGUGGCGAAGGCGGCUUUCUGGACUGUAACUGACGCUGAGGUACGAAAGCGUGGGUAGCGAACA